UACGUAGGGUGCAAGCGUUAAUCGGAAUUACUGGGCGUAAAGCGUGCGCAGGCGGUUUUGUAAGUCUGACGUGAAAUCCCCGGGCUUAACCUGGGAAUUGCGUUGGAGACUGCAAGGCUGGAGUCUGGCAGAGGGGGGUAGAAUUCCACGUGUAGCAGUGAAAUGCGUAGAGAUGUGGAGGAACACCGAUGGCGAAGGCAGCCCCCUGGGUCAAAACUGACGCUCAUGCACGAAAGCGUGGGGAGCAAACAGG
rnacentral:rRNA from 1 species